UCUAAUCUCGGCAUCGAGGAUAGAUGAAAGGUGGCCUCUACAUGUAAGCUAUCACUGAAGGAGGGGAUUGCGUCUGAUUAGCUAGUUGGAGGGGUAACGGCCCACCAAGGCGAUGAUCAGUAGCCGGUCUGAGAGGAUGAACGGCCACAUUGGGACUGAGACACGGCCCAGACUCCUACGGGAGGCAGCAUG
rnacentral:rRNA from 1 species